rnacentral:lncRNA from 1 species
ACCUGGCGGAGGAGGAACCUCGCGACGCGCUCUCGGGCAUCGGUUUCUCCCAGCAAAGCUUGGAGGGUUUAGCUGCGCGGAGAGCUCAGCGAGCUCUUCUGUGUCUGUUUGGGGCGUGUGGGCUCCGGGAGCGUGAGGACCGGGAAGCUAGGAGGCUCCUUCCCUUCUGGCGGCUCCCUCACUGAGACCGGGCGGUUUGGUUGCGGGGGAAGUGGAGACGAGCCACCCUUGACCUUUGACUGCAAGAACUCACCUUGAGCAGGAUAGAGGCACGUGGACGGUGACCCUCGGGAUGCAAUAAAUGCUGAGACAGAUCAGGUGUGCAAGGCACAGAGCUAGAGGCCAGAGGCCUUUCUUCUCCAACCUUCAGUCACCUCUUUUUAAAGUGAAGCCAGCAUCCUCCUCGGGGUUUACUGUGAAAAUUAAGUGAGCUGACGCGUGCUGUGUUUUGAUGUUGCUUGGCUCCUACAAACAUUGAGUGGGCCAGACACUGUUCUGAAAAAUACGCAGUCGACUUUUGAACAGCACAGGCUUGAACUGCAUGCGGCCACUAAUACUCGGACUUCCUUCUGCCUCUGCCAUCCCUAAGACAGCAAGACCCACCCCUCCUGCUCCUCAGCCUACUCGAUGUGAUGAUGGUGAGUAUGAAGACCUUUACUUUAUGAUGAUCCACUUCCAUUUAAUGGAUAGUAAAUAUAUUUUCUCUUCCUAUGAUUUUCUUAAUACCAUUUUCUUUUCUCUAGCUUACUUUAUUGAAAGAAUACAGUAUCUAAUACAUAUGACAUGCAAAAUAUG